rnacentral:rRNA from 1 species
UGAGGAAUUUUGGACAAUGGGCGAAAGCCUGAUCCAGCAACGCCGCGUGGGUGAUGAAGGCCCUCGGGUUGUAAAGCCCUUUCGGGAGGAACGAGAAAGGACGGUACCUCCAGAAGAAGAACCGGCUAACUCCGUGCCAGCAGCCGCGGUAAGACGGAGGGUGCAAGCGUUGUCCGGAAUUACUGGGCGUAAAGCAGGUGCAGGCGGCUCGUUAUGUCGGGUGUGAAAUCCCAGGACUCAAUUCUGGAACUGCGCCCGAAACUGGCGAGCUUGAGUGCGGGAGGGGGUGGCGGAAUUCCCGGUGUAGAGGUGAAAUUCGUAGAUAUCGGGAGGAAUACCGGUGGCGAAGGCGACCACCUGGCCCGUAACUGACGCUGAGACCUGAAAGCGUGGGUAGCAAACGG